rnacentral:lncRNA from 1 species
ACUAAAUAAUUACUAAUAGAUAAAGAAGUAUGUGCAGGAUUUAAUUUCACGACUAAAGAGGACUCCAAAGAAGAAUUAAAGUUCUGGUAGAUCAAAGAUCAAGGAAUGAUUUGGUUUUAACUGGUUUGCAUCUUAUGAGCAAAGUAAAUAAUAUGAUUUAAAUUGAUGAUUUAGAGUUACACCUAUUGAAAUUCUGUAUCUCAAUGAUAUCCUGGCUAAUCGAUACGAUAUCCUGUAAAUCCACUCACACACAAAUUUUACUCACACAUGUAAAUCCUGUAAAUUCA